rnacentral:rRNA from 1 species
AGCUCCAAGAGCGUAUAUUAAAGUUGUUGCAGUUAAAAAGCUCGUAGUUGGAUUUCUGGUACAAUGCGCCUGGCCCGCAAUAUGUGAGUGCCGGUGCGCGUUUGCCAUCCUUCUAGAAAACGUUUCUACCCGGGUAACUGGGCCGGACUCGCGAUCUAGAUCUUUUACUUUGAAAAAAUUAGAGUGUUUAAAGCAGGCUUUUGCUGUGAAUACAUUAGCAUGGAAUAAUAAUCUAGGACUUCGGUUCUAUUUUGUUGGUUUCUAGUACUGAAGUAAUGAUUGAUAGGGAUAGUUGGGGGUGCUAGUAUUGGCCGGCCAGAGGUGAAAUUCUUGGAUUCGGUCAAGACUAACUUAUGCGAAAGCAUUCACCAAGGAUGUCUUCUUUA